GCGGGCGUAGCUCAGCUGGCUAGAGCAAUCCCCUGUCACGGGAUAGGUCGUGGGUUCAAGUCCCAUCGCUCGCG
rnacentral:tRNA from 1 species